UGGACUUCUGAAUGGAGCUCAUGGG
rnacentral:piRNA from 1 species